rnacentral:rRNA from 1 species
GGGGAAUAUUGGGCAAUGGGGGAAACCCUGACCCAGCAAUGCCGCGUGAAGGAAGAAGGCCUUCGGGUUGUAAACUUCUGUGAUGGGGGACGAAGAAAGUGACGGUACCCCGUAAGAAAGCUCCGGCAAACUACGUGCCAGCAGCCGCGGUAAUACGUAGGGAGCAAGCGUUGUCCGGAAUUACUGGGCGUAAAGGGCGCGUAGGCGGCGGCACAAGUCUCAUGUGAAAGCCCCGGGCUUAACCCGGGAAGAGCAUGGGAAACUGUGUGGCUUGAGUGAGGUAGAGGAUCGUGGAAUUCCUAGUGUAGCGGUAAAAUGCAUAGAUAUUAGGAGGAACACCGGUGGCGAAGGCGACGAUCUGGGCCUUAACUGACGCUGAGGCGCGAAAGCGUGGGUAGCAAACA